UGCCGGCGACCGGCGACGGGUGCGUAACGCGUAUGUAACCUACCUUUGACAAGGGGAUAACAUCGAGAAAUUGGUACUAAUACCCCAUAACAUCACCGGAGGCAUCUUCGGUGGUUGAAAACUCAGGUGGUCAGAGAUGGACAUGCGUUGUAUUAGCUAGUUGGUGAGGUAACGGCUCACCAAGGCGACGAUACAUAGGGGGACUGAGAGGUCAACCCCCCACAUUGGUACUGAGACACGGACCAAACUCCUACGGGAGGCAGCAG
rnacentral:rRNA from 1 species